rnacentral:sRNA from 1 species
AGGUAGAUGCACCCUGGUUCAACCCCUAGAAUUUAUUCUAGGGGUUUUUUAU